CCCUAGUCUCGAUAACAGUGGGAAUCCUUUUAUUUGCAUUGUUGUUCAGUGAAUUUCAUUUACAACGGAUAACGGGAAUAGCU
rnacentral:sRNA from 1 species